rnacentral:misc_RNA from 1 species
ACUGCAUUUUGUCGUUGAUUUAGGAAAAACCAUAUCUUGAAUUUUGGCAAAAUAGCCUGAUGAGGCUUGGAAAAAUGUUUUGUACAGGGGAGGGUUCUCGAUUGUGGUGUUGUUUGUUGGUUGCAGUUUGGAAGAAUUGAUGGAAAAUGGGUGAUAGGGGGUUUUACAAUGGCUGGAGGCUGCCUGCAACUUGGAAGUAUUUUCUUUUUGUGUAAAAAGACUGAUCAAAUUUGUAGGUUAGAGGUAGGAAAUGCAGUAAAAAGUUUAGGAGAACGGUAGGGCUUUAGAGGAAGAGGUAAGGUAGAGAUGAAUUACUCUGUACACAUUACAACUCUUAAUACAAGCUUUUUAGCUUCACUCAGC